GGUAAGAUGGCCGAGUGGUUAAGGCGUGUGACUCAAGUUUAUUACUUCCUCGAUAAUCGAGGGUUCUCAUGGGCGUUGCCCGCGUGGGUUCGACUCCCACUCUUACCA